rnacentral:rRNA from 1 species
GUGGGGAAUUUUGGACAAUGGGCGCAAGCCUGAUCCAGCAAUGCCGCGUGUGUGAAGAAGGCCUUCGGGUUGUAAAGCACUUUUGGCAGGAAAGAAAUAGCGCGUGCUAAUACCAUGCGCGAAUGACGGUACCUGCAGAAUAAGCACCGGCUAACUACGUGCCAGCAGCCGCGGUAAGACGUAGGGUGCAAGCGUUAAUCGGCAUUACUGGGCGUAAAGCGUGCGCAGGCGGUUUUGUAAGACAGGUGUGAAAUCCCCGGGCUUAACCUGGGAAUUGCAUUUGUGACUGCAAGGCUAGAGUGUGUCAGAGGGGGGUAGAAUUCCACGUGUAGCAGUGAAAUGCGUAGAGAUGUGGAGGAAUACCGAUGGCGAAGGCAGCCCCCUGGGAUAACACUGACGCUCAUGCACGAAAGCGUGGGGAGCAAACAGGAUUAGAAACCCUAGUAGUCC